GUCAGCUGUGGCUAGCAAUACCAAGUUUGUCAGAAAGAACAGGGAUACAAAUCAAACGUUAUGAUUAUAGUGAGGCCCAGAGUGGCAAAAGCUACUGUGAUGCUAAAAUUGCCCAUAUGAGACAAAAAAUGAGAAUUUUCUCUGCAGAAGGCCAUAAAAUCACUGCAGCUAUGCAGAUGAAAGAAGCGAUUGAUAGUGGAGCUGGAGUUAAAGGAGUUUAUACAUCAGUUGUUGAUGUUGAUACAACAAAGCAUCAGCUUAAAACACAUUCUUGGAAAGGUGUAAGCUUUAUCACGAAUGUAGAGUACACAAGUUCUGGAAUAAAAACAUGGAAA